rnacentral:rRNA from 1 species
GACGUAGGGGGCGAGCGUUGUCCGGAUUUAUUGGGCGUAAAGAGCUCGUAGGCGGUUUGUCGCGUCGGCCGUGAAAUCUCCACGCUUAACGUGGAGCGUGCGGUCGAUACGGGCAGACUUGAGUUCGGUAGGGGAGACUGGAAUUCCUGGUGUAGCGGUGAAAUGCGCAGAUAUCAGGAGGAACACCAGCGGCGAAGGCGGCGCUCUGGGCCGGUACUGACGCUGAGGAGCGAAAGCGUGGGUAGCAAACAGG